AGGCAGUGAUGACGAACUUAUACCAUCAAACUAUGAAAGCUUUAUAUCAUCAAAGGCUUGUUGAUGUUAACAUAUAAUCAUUACUCCCUGAGCCU